CAGCCUGCUGGUGCGGCCAUAUUUUUAUCCAAAGGAGAGCGCAGCACGACUAGAGCAUUGUGUAUGCGUUGGGGACCUACAUAUCGGUUUUGGUCUGUACAAAGCUGAUUUAUUUUGAAGACAGCAUGAGAAUAUACUGUGGACUACACUGUAACGUGUAGCACUGCGCCGUUGCUAAACCAAAGUAAUUACAAAAUGCGCAUGCGAACUGACGAUGCGAACACCACCGCGGUUGCCACCUGAAUAUGAGUGUUUACCUGCCACAAUUUUGCUUAUUUUCGAACGGCGCUGCUCACCUGUGAUGUUGACGCUUGUAGUGGUUGUCUUUCUAGGUAUUUGUAUGUGUUAGUGGAUUUUGUUUGAGUGUAGUGGUAAAACAGGGAACUGAAUUCAGGAGCCGGAAAAACUGCAUUUGUGUUAGUUUCGAACACUCACACUAUUGCAAUUGUAGACCUGUUUUGAACCAGAAAAAAUCUGCUCUCUUUCUCUCUCUCUCUCAACUCGAUCGAAUUAGAUAAGUAAUUCGAUAUUGAAUGUUCGAACUCGAACAGAGUAAUACAUCCCUCGUAUAAAACAAUUAAGUGUUUUUUUGUUAGAAACCUUAUUUAGUGUUGAAUCCACAAUACCAGAUACUGGCCCGCGAUGUUGAUGCGAACGCGAACGUCUUUUGUUUUCACUUCGUUUAGCUGUUAAACCGCUUAAGUUUUUAGGAACGAUGCCAAACUUGAUACUGAACUUUAGUAGCUGAAGAAAAAGGUACAGUAAUACAACAACCCUAGCACUAAAUCAAGCGGAAGGGAGACACAAUUAAAAAUGACCGGUUGAAUACGAAUUUAAGUGCACAUAUUUAUUAAAAAUAACAAAAUAUGAAGCUUUUAAUAUCAACUGCAAGAAAAAGCACAAAUGUAUUAUUUAUAUUUUUAAGUCCAUAUUUUAAUUUUGGGACAACCCUUGAAAAAUUUUUCCUUAAUAAAAAAAUACAUUUAUGAAUACAA